GAUGAAGAAACGUAGCGAAAUGCGAUAAGUAGUGUGAAUUGCAGAAUUCAGUGAAUCAUCGAAUCUUUGAACGCACAUUGCGCCCCUUGGUAUCCCGAGGGGCAUGCCUGUUCGAGCGUCAUUUCACCACUCAAGCCUGGCUUGGUGUUGGGCGACGUCCCCUUUGGGGACGCGCCUCGAAACGCUCGGCGGCGUGGCACCGGCUUUAAGCGUAGCAGAAUCUUUCGCUUUGGAAGUCGGGGCCCCGUCUGCCGGAAGACCUACUCGCAAGGUUGACCUCGGAUCAGGCAGGGAUACCCGCUGAACUUAAGCAUAUCAAUAAGCGGAGGA
rnacentral:misc_RNA from 1 species